GAGUAACCUGCCCUUGACUCUGGGAUAAGCCUGGGAAACUGGGUCUAAUACUGGAUACUACCUCUUACCGCAUGGUGGGUGGUGGAAAGGGUUUUACUGGUUUUGGAUGGGCUCACGGCCUAUCAGCUUGUUGGUGGGGUAAUGGCUCACCAAGGCGACGACGGGUAGCCGGCCUGAGAGGGUGACCGGCCACACUGGGACUGAGACACGGCCCAGACUCCUACGGGAGGCAGCAGUGGGGAAUAUUGCACAAUGGGCGGAAGCCUGAUGCAGCGACGCCGCGUGAGGGAUGACGGCCUUCGGGUUGUAAACCUCUUUCAGUAGGGAAGAAGCGAGAGUGACGGUACCUGCAGAAGAAGCGCCGGCUAACUACGUGCCAGCAGCCGCGGUAAUACGUAGGGCGCAAGCGUUGUCCGGAAUUAUUGGGCGUAAAGAGCUCGUAGGCGGUUUGUCGCGUCUGCUGUGAAAGCCCGGGGCUCAACCCCGGGUCUGCAGUGGGUACGGGCAGACUAGAGUGCAGUAGGGGAGACUGGAAUUCCUGGUGUAGCGGUGAAAUGCGCAGAUAUCAGGAGGAACACCGAUGGCGAAGGCAGGUCUCUGGGCUGUUACUGACGCUGAGGAGCGAAAGCAUGGGGAGCGAACAGGAUUAGAUACCCUGGUAGUCCAUGCCGUAAACGUUGGGCACUAGGUGUGGGGGACAUUCCACGUUUUCCGCGCCGUAGCUAACGCAUUAAGUGCCCCGCCUGGGGAGUACGGCCGCAAGGCUAAAACUCAAAGGAAUUGACGGGGGCCCGCACAAGCGGCGGAGCAUGCGGAUUAAUUCGAUGCAACGCGAAGAACCUUACCAAGGCUUGACAUUCACCGGACCGCCCCAGAGAUGGGGUUUCCCUUCGGGGCUGGUGGACAGGUGGUGCAUGGUUGUCGUCAGCUCGUGUCGUGAGAUGUUGGGUUAAGUCCCGCAACGAGCGCAACCCUCGUUCUAUGUUGCCAGCACGUGAUGGUGGGGACUCAUAGGAGACUGCCGGGGUCAACUCGGAGGAAGGUGGGGAUGACGUCAAAUCAUCAUGCCCCUUAUGUCUUGGGCUUCACGCAUGCUACAAUGGCCGGUACAAAGGGUUGCGAUACUGUGAGGUGGAGCUAAUCCCAAAAAGCCGGUCUCAGUUCGGAUUGAGGUCUGCAACUCGACCUCAUGAAGUCGGAGUCGCUAGUAAUCGCAGAUCAGCAACGCUGCGGUGAAUACGUUCCCGGGCCUUGUACACACCGCCCGUCAAGUCACGAAAGUUGGUAACACCCGAAGCCGGUGGCCUAA
rnacentral:rRNA from 1 species